UACGUAGGGGGCAAGCGUUGUCCGGAUUUAUUGGGCGUAAAGAGCGUGUAGGCGGCUUUACAGGUCCGUUGUGAAAACUCGAGGCUCAACCUCGAGACGCCGGUGGAAACCGUAAAGCUAGAGUCCGGAAGAGGAGACUGGAAUUCCUGGUGUAGCGGUGAAAUGCGCAGAUAUCAGGAGGAACACCGGUGGCGAAGGCGGGUCUCUGGGCCGAUACUGACGCUGAGUGAGCGAAAGCCAGGGGAGCAAACGGG
rnacentral:rRNA from 1 species